rnacentral:rRNA from 1 species
CCUACGGGGGGCUGCAGUGGGGAAUAUUGGACAAUGGGGGGAACCCUGAUCCAGCCAUGCCGCGUGUGUGAAGAAGGCCCUCGGGUUGUAAAGCACUUUCAGUGAGGAAGAACGCCUGGUGGUUAAUACCCAUCAGGAAAGACAUCACUCACAGAAGAAGCACCGGCUAACACCGUGCCAGCAGCCGCGGUAAUACGGAGGGUGCGAGCGUUAAUCGGAAUUACUGGGCGUAAAGCGCGCGUAGGUGGCUUGAUAAGCCGGUUGUGAAAGCCCCGGGCUCAACCUGGGAACGGCAUCCGGAACUGUCAAGCUAGAGUGCAGGAGAGGAAGGUAGAAUUCCCGGUGUAGCGGUGAAAUGCGUAGAGAUCGGGAGGAAUACCAGUGGCGAAGGCGGCCUUCUGGACUGACACUGACACUGAGGUGCGAAAGCGUGGGUAGCAAACAGGAUUAGAUACCCGAGUAGUC